GCGGCCACGGCUCUGGAGAAGUCUGCAGCUCAGACAACAGAGGUCACGGCCACUCCAGACCUGCCACGUCCUGCUCCUUCUCCUGAUGACUUACCAUCAGAUCUCUAGGUCUUGGCACCACAAAGCUGUUGCAGGCUUUUCCUCGGUUUCUGGGUUUGCUUGAUCCCAGACCUAAAGCCAGGGUCUUGCUGGUGGAGCCCACCCCAGGGUUCCACCCAUCAUCAGCGGGACUCUGGCUUUUAAGUCUAAAAAUGGUGUGGGGGGUGAAAUAUGGGUCAGGAUCACAAAAUAGGGAGAGGUCAAUUGUGGCCCAGCUUUUCCCCAUGGAGCUGCAAGCUGCUGUCUUAACCCCCACAAUCCUCCAGUCUUGCCCCUCUCUUCCUGGGACUGACCUUGCUUUGCCCCCUCCUUCCCUUUUACCCCAAACCACUGCUAAGUGAGGUUAUGUCCUAUGCUCCUUCAUUACAGGGACUCCUAUUCUCCAAGUUGGUGUCCUUUCCCCUGACCUUUGACCCCCAACACAUUCACAUCCUGUGAAGUCACUCUCUGAAGUCGAGGGGGAUAACUGAUUCUCAAGAUGGGCAAAGUAGGGGUCCAAUGCCACGUUUGAGCCCUGAGACCACCCCGCCCCUGCCCCUGAAGCCUCAAUCCCAGCAUGUUAAGUCAGAACUUCUGCUGUCCUCUGAGCAAGCCUGCAGGGCCAGGGCAUCCUCAGUCACAGCCGGUGACAAGUCCUUGCCUGACAGGCACUGAAUCAAUUCCACAACCUAAACUUCUAUGUCAUCAAACAUGGAGGCCCCUGUGCGUAAGCUAUACAGGAUCUUCUUGUAUUUUUCUUCCUUUGAGGGAAUAGAGAGGCUAAAGUGUUUUGGUGGGUGGUGAUUUUGCUGUUGUUUGGGGGUUUGUUUGUUUGUUUUUGCUAAUUUGGCCCCACCGUGCUAAGAAGCCAUGCUAACCAGAGGCAGGAGGAGGAGCCCAGGAGAGCCUGGGGUUGCUGCGCCCAGACCCCACCACCCACGUUCUCCUCUCCCCCUGUCCCAGCUGUUUCCUUUGGCUCCCACCUCAGGAUCUGAGUGGGGAGGGAUGGGGGAGGGAGAAGUUUCCCACUGCACCAAGAGGCACGGCUCCGAGGCCUGAAGCUCUGAACAGUCUCUGCCAUCCUUUAUCAGGCCCAGACGCCUACCGCCUAGGGAGGGCGGGAUGGCUGCAGAGUGCAAGCCUUCCACCUGUGGCCUCGGCAGCUGCACCCCAGGAUGUGGAAGCCUGGAGUUGGGCUGAAGGCUUAAUUUCUACCCUGACUUCUCCAGUGAGGAUCUGAGUAGGCGCCAUGCGGAAAUGCCCACAAAACAUCUGCAACCCUCAGGUCCAUUGAUGGAAAAAAGUGGCCAAGAGAGACAGGACCUUCCCUGCGCGCUGCCGCGUCCUGGGAGGGGGCCACCUCCGCAGACCAAGACACAUAGCCUCAUGGCCGGGAGAGUUUCGCUCGGUGCCAGCGUUCUCCAACCCAGAGUCAGAUGCCAGAGCUCUCCAUUCCUUCCCUGCUCCCCACCUCCCAGCAAUCGUCCGCCUCCUGCCCUGUUUGGAACUGGGGACCCCCGCAGGGGUCCCUGUCCUGAUCCACAAGACCCCCCUCCUCUCUUGCUGAGCUGUGUUGGCUGGUGAGAACAGCCCUGCCCUUAGGGUCCUGGUUACGCGGGUCCCCUUGUCCCUGGGAGGUGGAGGGGGCGAUGCAGAAGAGCAGAGGGGCGAAGGCGAGUGGGGAGAACAGCAGCGGGAUCAGGAGAGGGUGGCAGCGUCUCAGACCACAGCCGAGGAGGAAGAUGGGGACGACGAGGAGGCCGCAGAAGAGGACGGUGAGGACGGACUGUUCCAGAACAGCCACCGCCGCUUGGGCUGCCGUUUCAGGUGGAGAUAGUCCUCCUUCUCACGUUCCUUCCGUGCCCGCUGGUAGUGAUCUUCUUCCUUUAGGUACCAGACAGGCGGCCACCGGUGCUUCUCAAAAUACUCCUGGUUUUCUGGAGCAGAACAGUAGGGCCAUAGUUAGAGGGCAGGAGAAGGGGAGAGAGGAGGGCUGGGGCAUGGAGGGUGUCCAAGGGAUGCCCGCAGCGGCCCCCACACUGCCAUGGGGACUUGCAGCGGCCCCCAUCCAGGUAUCAGCCCUGCCUUCAGAGCCCCCGGUGCAGGUGCAGGGCUUCCUGAAGAAAGUCAAUGCCAGCAGUGGGGCCGACAGCGUUGGGAAAAGGUCCUUCCACUAUGCUGCACUUUAAAGGCAGAGGGCACACCCAGAUGGGCUUCACAUGCCUGGCAAUGAACUAGGCUGGGACGGAGCACGAGGAGGGAGGAGGGCAGCAGGGUGCUGGGCAUGGCACAGGCAGUUGGUGGAGCUGGGUUCUGAGGGAAGCAUCGGGAGGGAGGGCUGCAGGAGUACAAAGAGGGUCAGCCUUUAAAGGAAAGGCUAGGCUGAGGGGUUCAGACUGAUCCUGGAAGGCGUGAGGGGGCAUGCAAGGUUUAGACCAGGGCAGUGAUGUGGUUGGAGCUGUGCCCUACACAGAAAAUGCCACAAGGGUGCAAAGGAGAGACCAAGGGUAGGAGGACGGGAGGGUGCAGGGACAGCCUGGCAGCAGGGAGGAGGGCACCACAGCGUGGAGGGUGCCCAGUGGAGACCUGAAGAAAUGGCUGGCAGGAAACUGGGGAGGCCAAAACAUCUCUCCCCGGGGCUCGGGCAAUUCCUUUCAGGCGCCAGGACUUCGAGACAUUCAUUAAGCAGAGGUAGGACCGCAGGGACCUCAGAGGAUACCAGGACCUGUGUUGUCCAAGCUGUGCCCUUUCUAAGUUGUGAAAUCAACGUGGUGGGUCAUGAGCAGCAUUUAAAAACAAUUUGUAUAGUUUUUUAUAUGUGUACCAGCUCCCAACAUAAAAUGCAUUUCUUAUUGUGGAGUCUUGUCUGAAAAAUACCAACUCUGGAAAAAAAAAAAAUCAAGUCUGAAAUACCAAAAUACCAAAACAACUAAAAAACACACAAAAAAACCCAAGUCUGAAAAACACCAAAAGUCCAACACCCUCUUUGUACUCAUGAGAAAUAGAAGCCCAGAGAAGUUAAGUGAAUUGCUCGACGUCCCCAGCUGCCCUGCCCUUUGCCUGGGCUUCCCUCUGCUUGGCUGGAUACACCUUUGCAGGCUGCUCCCCACCCGCAAGGUCAAGUUCAGCCCAAGGAUCUUUGGCAGCCGUCAGAUGCCCUCCGGUCGAGUCAGAGAUCUGGACCCAGGUUGAAGCCCCUUCAGCAGACAGGUGGAGCAAAGGUCCUGUGGGAGAUGCUUACCUGGGGACAUGGCCUUCAUGUCUCGCGGGAACUUGCGGCACACGUUGUUGUAAUUGGUGCAGAUGUGGUGAAGACACCAGUCGGCCAACUGGUACGCACAGUGGAACUGGGGACAAACAGGAGAGCAUCUGUGCUGGAACCCCAGGGCAGGGUCUGCACAGACACCUAGUGCUGUCUUCAGAGCCACAGCUUUGGUGUAGACAGGCAAUGGCCCUGCAGUUGUAAAGGGCCCAUCUCGAGAGGCAAACCCACGCAAAAGUGUAAGAAAACAUUUACUUUGCUCUUUGGCACCACCACCACCAUCACGUCACCUCUGUCCUGCCCCCAGCAUCCAGGACAUCCACAGCUGUGUGUGGUGCCUUCCUACCGUGUCCGUCCUCCUUAGAUCCCACCCCAGAGAUGCCCCCCUCCUCCCGUCAGGGACCAAAGCAGUCUCCACUAAGGUGUAGACACCCAGGGUUAGAGAGCUGACCUUCCCAGCUGCAUCUAAAUGCCUCAGAGCCACAACUCCAACUUCAUCAACUAACUUCUGGUGGUAGAAUUUUACACUCAGAGGGCCGAUGUGGGAGAUUUCGCUUGUUUGCAUGGGGAUGAGGAGGUGGGCAGCUAAUAUUAGAGGAAGGGUCCUCAAUGACCGAAGGCAGGCUGAAACCAUGUCUACACGUGAGACUGGGCUUCCUUCCCCUGCCUUAUGGUUGCACGAUGCCUCAGUCCCUUCCCGCCAUGGCCAGCCUCUCCUCUCGGCAUGUCAGAGUGUAUCCUCUUGCAGGAAGGAUGAGACGGGCUCUGCCGAAUCAGGGAACCAAGUCUAAAAAUGGGCUCCCUUCCUGCCCACCGCCUCCCAGGCUUCCCCAGUCGCUGCCAAUGAGCAUACAGAGCCCAGAGUCAAGAAUGUUGGAGAGAUCCCUUCCCCAGCCGUCAUACCUGAGCCAGUUCGAGGAACACAAGGACAUCUCCAUCAAUGUCCACCAUCAUCUGAGUUGCUUCCAUCAGCCCGGUCACUGUGUACUGCUCUGUGACACACACAGCCAGGAAUUAGCCGAAGAACCACAUGAAUGGAUAUGUACUCAUUUAUACCCCCCGGCAGGGACCCCACUGCAGGGCAAAGAGAGAUGAGGCCAGGUGGAAGUCCCAACAGGCCGAGAAAGGCCAUAGCCAAUUUAAGUCUGCUCCCACCAGUGAGGAAAUUGGGAUUACAGCAAGACUUUCCCAGUGCAGUGAGGAUGGGGAGUGAAGGUGGAUGUCAGGAUCAUGUAAGAGAAUUGUUCAAACUACGUAUGUCGCACCCAGUAGUCUGAUAUAUGUAGGGUAAAAGCCCCCAGUGGAACCAGCCAUUGACACGGACGGGAGACGGCAGUAAGUCUCAGAGUUCUCUCUUUUGCCAAGAACUACAAAUUAGAACUAUGGAUUAAACCUAAGUGUUUGUAUUAAUUUAGAUUUUAGAACAAAUUGUGUACUAACCUUACAUUUUAUGUUAAAACAUUUACAUUGAAAAAGUAAACACUAUUAAUCCUGAAGUUUAACUGUAUCAGUAUAGACUCAUGAGGUAUCUUUAAAAUAUACUUCCCAGCUCAGUCCAUGGAAAAAACCUAGAAACAAGAGCUCGAAAUGAUACAUUGGUAAUGGGCAUCCCUCAUGCACAGAUUAUAGCCUGGAAAUACCAUUUCCUAUAAGAAGCAGACUUCUUAGAGAAAUGGCUGAUUCCAGGUCCAGGGCAGGAAAUGUACAAAACGAACCUGGAACAUCUUGUCAUUCCACAUAACCAGAAAGCUCACUCCGAUGCCAACUUGAAGAGAUCCCUGCUGGCAAAAGGUGCGGUGCAGUACUUUAGCGUUAAUAAAGUAACUGCAAUUAUUUGAAACCGAUCAAGUACAUUCAAAUCUAAAAGUUGGUAAUAAUCCUUCAAAAUAAAAACUAACGGGGCACUCUCCAAAGGUGAUGGGAACCAAAUGUAUCUUGAAAUCUGGUCAGUGAAGAGGAAACAGUCAAACAUACACCUGCCCCUCCUGUAUGAAACCAUACUACUCGGAAAAAGUAGGAGGGAAGCUUCUCUCCUUUUAGAAGGAUUCCAACAGAUAAAGAAGGAAUGCCUGAAUUGGAAUAUUACCAUUUCACAACACCUAAUAAAUCAGCGGACCCACUGACACUCAGUGGCUGCUAACAUCGCAAAAAGAGAGAGAGCUUCUUGAUGAGAAACAGAAAUGGGGCACCUGGCUGGCUCAGUCAGUGGAGCAUGUGACUCUUGAUCUUGGGGUUGUGAGUUCGAACGCCACGUUGGGUGUAGAGAUUACUUAAAAAUAAAAUCUUAACAAACAGACAAAACAAAAACAACCUAUGAAGUAGUCUUAGCAAAAGAAAAUUGAAUACGAAUCUGAUCUAGCCUGUAGAACCAAUGACCAAUCAGUGAAAUCUAGAUUUUCUAGAACAUCAGUGGGCUUUUCCCAAUAGAUAAGUUGCAAGGGGGGAAAAAAAUCAUGGACAAGGAACCUCUAGAUUAGAAGAAACUUAAAAGGCAUAUAAAAAAUAAGACCAUGCUAUAGUGUUUAAGGGUGCACACUUAGAAGAUAAAACUAUGAAGAGUAAGGCAGUGAGGCCAUAAAAAAUACCCUACAAAAGACUGAUAGGUAAAGUGUUACUCCUGAGGAGGGAGAAGGACCCGGCACUCGGGUGGACAGGCAGGGGGCUUCUGCUGUGGCUGGCAAGGGCCUAGCUCCUGAUAUGGGUCAUUUGAGUCUAUAAUAAUUCAUGAAGCUAAACAUAUAGUUCAUGUAUUUGUGUUAUACUGAACAAUAAGAAGUUUUAAGCUUGAAUUAAUAACUUCAUAGAAAGCAUACUUCAUGAAACAUAAAGCAUCACCAACUGUACCACAUUCAACACUUGCUGCUAAUCCGUGACAAGUACAUACACAACACAUGCUUGUAUGUUUUGUAGUGUUUAUGGGCCAUUUCCCAGGACGAGUCAUUCAACGGUAUUUUCUACAAGCCUUUCCAUGUGGCAGUGCAGUGUAACAUUUUUUUUUUUUUUUAAUUUUUUUUUUUUCAACGUUUAUUUAUUUUUGGGACAGAGAGAGACAGAGCAUGAACGGGGGAGGGGCAGAGAGAGGGAGACACAGAAUUGGAAACAGGCUCCAGGCUCCGACCCAUCAGCCCAGAGCCUGACGCGGGGCUCGAACUCACGGACCGCGAGAUCGUGACCUGGCUGAAGUCGGACGCUUAACCGACUGCGCCACCCAGGCGCCCCGCAGUGUAACAUUUUUGAUGGCUCACUUGUUUCUGAUUGCCCACCAUGAUAAGGCAAACUUACAGAAAUAUCUUUAUACAUAUUUUGCCUUUGGGUCAUUUCUUUGGAGAUAGUCUUUCAAAAAAGUUGAAUUACUCGGUCCAAGAGUUCGGGAGCUGUCUGUGCUCUGUGAAGACCACACCUCUUUUCACAGGCAGUCCUGGUGGACUUACUGUUUCAGCUGUGAUCUUUAGAAGCCUCUCUCUUGCUCCCCACCCGAAAGCCCUCUGUGUCUCCAACUAGGCUCCCAACUAACAUUCCAAUUCUUUUUUUUUUUUUUAACGUUUAUUUAUCAUUGAGAGACAGAGAGAGACAGACCAUGAGCAGGGGAGGGGCAGAGAGAGAGGGAGACACAGAAUCUGAAGCAGGCUCCAGGCUCUGAACUGUCAGCACAGAGCCCGAUGUGGGGCUCGAACUCACGAACCGCGAGAUCAUGACCUGAGCCGAAGUCGGACGCUUAACCGACUGAGCCACCCAGGCGCCCCUAACAUUCCAAUUCUGAUCGGCGACUUCUUCCUUCUUCCUACGACCAAGCCCCAUCUUAUUUAUAACUAAUUUCUCAUCACGGUUUUGCCGUUUUCCUCAUCUGUAAGUCCCAGUCUUCAUCACCUGUACAGUGCCCCAGCAGCUCUAAUGCUAGGUCCUUCCCUUAGUCUCAGCUCAAUAUCUUAGGCCCUGCUCUCUGCCCCCUGACCUGCCCAAGAACAUGAACCCCGAUAUCAACACCAGCACAGGCACCAACACCAACACCAACACAGCACAAAUGCCAGUUCCAACCUCAACGGGAGCCUUCUGCCUGCUUGCAUCACUGGCCCCAGACCCCCUUCAUCUGGACCAUUCCUGUCCUGCAGCCCCUGGGCCCCCAACAGCCUGCUGCUCAGUGUCCCUGUUGCCUCAGGCCCUGCUCCAUCCCGAGGACCUCUGCAUUUGGCCUUCUCUAAAAGCUGAGCUCUCAUGGUCUUUUCAAGGAACUAGGCAGGUCAAUGUUUAUUGUCUGUUUCUGGAAGAAGAACCAGAAAGCGAAGGUGGAAGAGAAGGAGGAGGAAGAGAAGAAGGAAGAGAAGAGAAAAGAAAGAAGGCAGAGGAGGAGGAGAAGGACCCAAGAGGGGAUGGGGAGUGAGGAACUGCGUUCUAUUCCUCUUGACUUGAGCUUGCCAGAGUGAGACCCAGCUGGGAGAACACCAGGCGCUGUCAUCUGCCGGAGACAAGACGGUUGGGCCCAAAACCCUUCGCGGAGAGCCUACAACGUGACACCACCAAGCACGUCUCUCUCACUUCUUUACAUCUGUGUCCUCUCCAAACCCCAAUACGCAUCGACAUAUUUCACUGGGUGUAAACACAUUCCCUUGGUGCUAGCAGCCUGUCCCUUGGGAGGAGACAGGUGAGAGAAGAAAUAAUGACUUCUGGGGGUUUCCCUGGCUUCUCCCCCAGGGAGAUCCUCACGUACCUGUGAGGGCAACCAAGUGUGGCAGGCAGAGGCGGUUGGCCAAGAUGAUGAGCUUCAUGUCGUCCAGGUCGGGACUGGAGGUGAACAUGCCCGUGUAGAGGUAUUCCAGCACUGCCCUCAUGCAGCUCUUGCUUGUGUAAGGAAACACCACCUGCAGGGGGAAGGAAGACAGAGAGCCUCAGUGAGGUCCAGCUUUUGGGAAGGAGGAACUCAGGUCUGAGAAACUCAAAAGGCCCUGGUCCUCACGGGCCGGGCUCCCCCAGGCUGGCCAGCCAUCCCGCCGCUGCCCCUGUACCGACUCAGGAAGCCCUCAAAGGCCUGCAUCCCAGAGCAAAACCCUGCACGGAGCCCAUGUGCUGACAGCACCAGUGAGCAGGGCUCUGACAGCUUUUAACGGGACCUAGAUUCUCACUGGCAUGCUUCCAAAGCCAUGCUGGCUUGGAAGGUGUUUGAAGGAAUCCUUCCUUUCACCUGAACCCACACCCCAGCCCCUCCUGGCCUUGCAGAGGGCAGUGCGAGUGGGAUCGGCUUCUCUCUGGCUGCCUGAAGAGGCUGCUUUGGGCCCCUGGGAUCUCUUCAGAGCAGUGCUGCAACAAAAACUGCUUUCUCAUCAGGCACAAGUCUCCCCAGGCGGCGUGCAAAUCGUCUGGAGCUUUGAAGCUGCUUCUAUGGUACCCAGAAGUGCGCAGGGCUGGCCGCCCCUGGGGCUCCGGGGAGCGCCUGGUCUCACACUCACAGAAGCCAAUCCCACUCACACUUCAAGGUUCAGAGACCAACUCACAUCUCAAUCCCUCCACUUAGCCUUCCGGAAGGGCUUCCUUCCCAGAAAUGUUAAGAAAUUCCUAUUCUGUGUCACAGGACGCUAUGCUGUGUUAGUCCUAGCGCAGUCUUUCGCUCAAGUGUUUGGUGAGCUCUACUGAGGGACCAGUGUGGAUGGGGGGUGGGGUGGGGUGGGGACGAUUUGGCGCAAGUGCAAGACCCGGUCCCCACACUUGAAAGAAAUCCCAGACCAGUCGAGAAAACUGUGUGGAUACUCCGAACCUCGUGCGGUUGCACAAACUUGUACCUUGUUAACUGCGAGGCUGAGUGAUGGACAAUUAACGGUACGGGAGCUUAAAGAAAAUAGAGAAGGGGCUCCUGGGUGGCUGAGUCGGUGAAGCGUCCAACUUUGGCUCAGGUCAUGAUCUCACCGUUUGUGAGUUCGAGCCCCACAUGGGCUCUCUGCUGUCAAGACGGAGCCUGCUUCAGUUUCUCUGUCCCCCCCUCUCUCUGCCCCUCCCCUGCUCUCUCACACGCGUGCUCUCUCCCUCUUCUCUCUCAAAAAUAAAAAAAUAAACCUUAAAAAAAAUAAUGGAUUCAUUUUAGGACACACAGAACUUUUUCCAGUUGGUUCACAUGUGUUAGGGAGAAAGCAAAAUACAAUGUAUAGAGCCAAGGAAUUGGAAGUCUCAAAGUCCGAACCUCUCCUUUCUACUUAUGUAACUUUGUACCAGACUCUGAACUCCUCAAGGGCCUCACUUUCCCUAUAAAGUGGGAACACUAUGCCAUAUGUGUGAGGUGAUACAGGAGAUAAUGUAUCAAAAGUGCCUUCUAAACCAUAGAGUGAAGAUGUUACUAUAAUUCUUGGCUAUGGGAACCAUCUCAUCAUAAACGUCUCUGGAGUUGGUCACUCAGCGGUUAGCAAGCACACAGUCGGUGCUGAAGAAAGUACCAAUAAAUAGCAGCUGCCUCAGGUGCGAAGUGUGUAGGUCUGGCUCUCCCUCCCACCCAGUCCCAUCCUGGCCUUACCUCCCUGGUGGAACUCUCCACAAAUGGCCCCCCAAACAUGGCAGCCAUCCAGUCACAGCUGGAAAUCAACAGGGGCUUAUGGGCGCUGAUGGUGCCAUCAUCCAGGAUGAAAGUCACAUCUGUCCAGGAGGAGAAGAGGCAUCACGUGAGGAUGUGGUGAAAGAAUGUGGGACAACCAACCCCAAAGAUUGCCACCGUGCCCAGACAACCCACUUCCUUCCGAAGCCACGGCUGUGGAGUGCUACGUGACCAAGCUCUCAGGCUUAGGGGACUAGGCUUCAGGAGCAGAGCCACCACAGCUCCAGGACAUCAGCAGCUGAGAUGAAUGACUCAGAAUGCUAAUCAGACCAACCUGGACUCUUGAGAAGGCAAACUGGAGGGAACUUCCCUGCCUUCUGGCAGUCAGUUCCUAAGCACAAUCCGUACCUGAGAAGGUGCCCUUUGCCAAGCACUCCUUAACCCGGUUGGUCCGACGGACAUGGAAGGCCUUAGUGAUCUCUUGGUUCAUGAAGGCCUCAUUGUUGAGAAUGUUGGCCACCAUCAUGCGUAAAUCAAAGACCUCAAGCAGUUCAGCAAUGUGGGCGAUGUGCAUGAGGUCCCGCUCGUUCUCAUCCAGCUCCCCGGUGUACAGGUACUUGAGAACAGCCCGGAAGGGCCCCGGCUGGAUGGAGUUGUCCAUUUUUACCACCACCAUCAGCCGGGAUUUGUAGGUCAGAGGAUCUUCAGCCAUCUCUUCCUGGAUGCUUACAAAAGCUCGGCUCCAGGAAGACAGUACUCGACCCCUCCCUGGCAGAUACCCUGUUCCAUUGCCCCGCAAGAUCCCAUCGCUGGUUGAGGCGCGGAGCCCAGCAGGACCCGAGCCCCCGCCCUCCUCCACGCUCUCGCAUACGUCAAAGCUGGCCGCCCGAAGCAGGAAGUCCCGGCCAUGGUGGUGGUGGUGGUGAUGGUGGUAGUGGUGAUCAGGAUGACCCCGGUGGUCCUCUGGGCGGGGGCCCCCUGGCCCCGAGGGGCCCCCCAGCUCCCCCUCACUCAGGUCCAUGAGGAACAGGUCGUAGAACUUGGAGGAGGAGGUGGAGAGGUAGAUCUUGUGGGCAAAGAUGCGCACCCGCUCCUGCAGCACCAGUAUGACAUCCGCGCACAGCGGGUCCUCCAGGAGGUGGGCGGGGCACUCCUCGCUGCUGGAGGGGGGAUCUGGCACCACGAUGAUGGGGGGAGGCGGCUUGGGAGGCAAGAAGGGCGCCUGCAGCAGAGGCCGCUGCACAUUGCGGAGGUGGGAUUUCCAGAACUGCAGGUGCCGGCGGGAGAUGAGUGCGGCGCGGAUGGCGUUGUCAAAGACGUCCUUGAUGCCGAACUGGGCCACCACGCUGGUCUCGUAGUAGGGGAUGCCCAGCUCCUUGGCUACCUCCCGACCCUUCUCUGGGGGAAGGAUCUCAUUGGGCUUGAUGGGCCUGGGAGGUUCAAGAAGGAAAACUAAACAUGUUGGUGGGGGAAGAGAGGAGGGGCGGGGCAGGGAGAGGCAGCUCUCCAGAGCCUGCCUGUUCUCCAGGGGGCUGGAGAUUCUCUACACAAGAUCUGUCUCUGCCCCACUCCUGCCCUUUCCUCCUCUGUCUAGUCAAAUCUUACUAGUCCUUCAAGUCCCCUUCCAAUCCCCUCUUCUUGCAGGACUUCUGCCAGAGCCCCCGUCCCACCCGCUGCCAGAAACUUCUGGCAAUGAGCAUGCAAUGUUCCACAUUGGUUUUUAACAUGUUCAAACAUCGAGUUCAUCUCUCAGCAUGAUCAUAAGUCCCUUUCAUGCAAAGA
rnacentral:lncRNA from 1 species